rnacentral:rRNA from 1 species
GACGAACGUUGGCGGCGUACUUAAUACAUGCAAGUCAACUGAAGCAGUGGUAGCAAUAUCGCUGUGGAGGUGGCGCACGGGUGAGUAACACGUAGGUAAUCUGCCUUCAGGUCUGGCAUAACUCCGGGAAACCGGGGCUAAUAGCAGAUGAUGCAGCGGCUCGACAUCGAGACAGUUGUUAAAGCUAUGGCGCCUGAAGAUGAGCCUGCGUCUGAUUAGCUAGUUGGCGGGGUAACGGCCCACCAAGGCAACGAUCAGUAGCUGGUCUGAGAGGAUGAUCAGCCACACUGGAACUGAGACACGGUCCAGACUCCUACGGGAGGCAGCAGUAAGGAAUAUUGCUCAAUGGGAGAAGUCCUGAAGCAGCAACGCCGCGUGAGGGACGAAGGGCUUUGGCUUGUAAACCUCUGUAGUGAGAGAAAAAAAUCCCAAUCUUUGGGACAUGAUGGUAUCUCAAAAGUAAGCCCCGGCUAACUACGUG